rnacentral:rRNA from 1 species
AUUGAACGCUGGCGGCAGGCCUAACACAUGCAAGUCGAGCGGAUGAAGGGAGCUUGCUCCUGGAUUCAGCGGCGGACGGGUGAGUAAUGCCUAGGAAUCUGCCUGGUAGUGGGGGAUAGCGUCCGGAAACGGGCGCUAAUACCGCAUACGUCCUGAGGGAGAAAGUGGGGGAUCUUCGGACCUCACGCUAUCAGAUGAGCCUAGGUCGGAUUAGCUAGUUGGUGGGGUAAAGGCCUACCAAGGCGACGAUCCGUAACUGGUCUGAGAGGAUGAUCAGUCACACUGGAACUGAGACACGGUCCAGACUCCUACGGGAGGCAGCAAUGGGGAAUAUUGGACAAUGGGCGAAAGCCUGAUCCAGCCAUGCCGCGUGUGUGAAGAAGGUCUUCGGAUUGUAAAGCACUUUAAGUUGGGAGGAAGGGCAGUAAGUUAAUACCUUGCUGUUUUGACGUUACCAACAGAAUAAGCACCGGCUAACUUCGUG